UUCAAACUAGGGAAAUUUGCUCCAAUAGAGAAGAUAAAUACAAAGUUAGAUAAAAUAUUAGAAAUUAUUAAUCCUUUGUCACCAAAAAAACAAGCAAGGCUUCAAAACAUGCAAGAAGAAAAAUAAGAACACAUAUCAAUAAAUAAGAACACAUAUCGAUUAAGUGUUGAAAAGAAAAUGAAUUGUUGAGUAUUUCUUAAGUAAUGAUCUUGUAUUACAGAAUAGGAAAGUGAUAUAUUUAAUACGAAAACGCCAGAGUUAUUUUCAGUAUAUAGGUCGUGUUCAAUGCAAAUUCUGUUUAUGUAUUGUGAUAAUUGAUUUAUCACAUAUUUAUUGAAAUUUCUGACAGACCAGUCAAAAAUCACAUAACCUCAAUUCAGUGAUAUGAUAUGAAUAUUAUAGAGAAAGACUGCUCAUAACCCUUAUGGGUUAUGUCAAAAUGGAUUUCAAACUAGGGAAAUUUGCUCUAAUCAAGAAGAUAAAUUGUCACCAAAGAAACAAGCAAGACUUAAAAGCAUGCGAGAAGGAAAAC